rnacentral:tRNA from 1 species
GCUGUGGCUCAGUGGUAGAGCAUCUGCUCGGCAUGCCGAAGGUCCCAAGUUCAAUCUCCGGCCUCUCCA